rnacentral:rRNA from 1 species
GACGAACGCUGGCGGCGUGCUUAACACAUGCAAGGCGAACGGAAAGGCCCUGCUUUUGUGGGGUGCUCGAGUGGCGAACGGGUGAGUAACACGUGAGUAACCUGCCCUUGACUUUGGGAUAACUUCAGGAAACUGGGGCUAAUACCGGAUAGGAGCUCCUGCUGCAUGGUGGGGGUUGGAAAGUUUCGGCGGUUGGGGAUGGACUCGCGGCUUAUCAGCUUGUUGGUGGGGUAGUGGCUUGCCAAGGCUUUGACGGGUAGCCGGCCUGAGAGGGUGACCGGCCACAUUGGGACUGAGAUACGGCCCAGACUCCUACGGGAGGCAGCAGUGGGGAAUAUUGCACAAUGGGCGGAAGCCUGAUGCAGCAACGCCGCGUGCGGGAUGACGGCCUUCGGGUUGUAAACCGCUUUCGCCUGUGACGAAGCGUGAGUGACGGUAAUGGGUAAAGAAGCACCGGCUAACUACGUG